GAGCAGGGAAGAAUUCUGCGCACUUCUAAUGGAUGGGUCCAUCAGUAUCAUCUGAAUUUCAGAUGAGAUCAAGCGCAGCUGAGCUC